rnacentral:lncRNA from 1 species
CAUGCCCAUGGCAUGCAGAAGUUGCCGGGGCAGGGAUAAAACCACACCACAGCUAUAACCAGAGUCGCAGCAGUGACAUCAGAUCCUUAACCUGCUAAGCCACCAGGGAACUCCAACACAUUCUUUUUAAAAUUAAUUUUAUUACCUCCUGGAUAUGUUGUGGUUAUUCAGUGUUUCUUGAAUGAAUGAAUGAAUGGAUGGAUGGAUUUUUAUUCCCACCAUCACAGUCCAGGCCUGUCUUUUCAUCAGCUUCUCCCUGGAUGACAGGAACAAGCCUUUGAUUGGUCCCCUCCUCUGGAUGCGCCUUCCCUCAGUGUCCUUCCUCUCCACACCCACCCAGUCCUGUCACACUUACAGAAGGGACCUCUCAUUUGCAAGGAGGGCAAACGAGGCGGCUCAGAGGAUUUCUCCUGCUCCUCUCACGAUCAAGGCUGGCCUCGGAACACACAGCUGCCCUCUCCCCUGGGUCCAGACCCCGGCGCCCUGCUCAGUGCUUCCUCAUUCUAACAAGUGCUUCUCUCAUUCAAUGGCUGCCUUUGCCUUUGCUUUUUCUCUCCUUUCCCCCUGCUGCUGGGUCUUGGAAAGGUCUCGAGUCUCUGAUGGGAGGUCAAGGGAAUCAUUCAGUUAGAAAAUUGAGGCCAUUUCGAUGGGGGAAUCUUUUCACAGCAUCUACAUACAGCAAAUCAUCAUGCUCUAUAUCUUAAAGAUCUUACAAUUUUAUUUGUCAGUUAUGCCCUAAUAAAGCUGAAGAAAGGAAUAUUAAGGCCAAAGGCUAAGACACCAGCAGGGUCUGAGGGCCAGAAGAUAGACUGGAGGACGCUGAGUGAGUUCCCCAAGAGGGGCAUAUCCCAAGGAUGGGGCUUGGGGGAUUUUGCAGCAGGAGGUGAGAGAAAGACAGACGUCUGUCUGAUCCUUGAGCUUGAGGUAGAGAGAGAGUUCAACAAAGAGGGUGAGGCCAGCAGCAGGAAUGCCGCUGAGGAUGGAGGAACCACGAGUCGCCUUCCGUGGCUGAGGUGGACGUGCUCCACGGCCCCUGGGAGCAGGGCUUGGGGCCUGGCUGUGACCAGAGGCCCUUAGGCUGGAUCUGGUGCUGCGGAACCUCCUGGUGAGGCUGGACGGUGAACCUGGAAGGGUGUGGACCCUCCAUCAAACCCCAGGGACAAGUGCCCGAGACCCCACUGAGCAGAAACAGGGUGGGACGGAAACCAAACAAAAUGCUCCUUUAAAGCCACCUGAAAUCCAUGUUUCAGGAAUGUUUGAUUUGGGGCUUCUCUUUCCUGCCGCCGGAUAUGUAAAGAAAACAAAUCUUUAAAGCUUCAACUCCAAAGAAAGAGCCCUCUGUGUGCCUAGUUAUGGCCCCUGCUUCAGGAACAAGCCUCUUUUCCUCUUUGGCCGGGACUGUAUCCAAGGCAGAUAAUGCCCCUGGGUGCAGCCCCAGUGUCUGCCAAGAGUUCAGAGGAGAGCUGGCACAACCAGACCUCGAGGCCUUCCAGAGGCUUCCGCACCAGGGGCCUGAGGUGGCUGACAGAUGGGGAUACCUCUGGGGAGUUGAGAGGGCCACACCCCUGCCCCAACCCAGGUCUGGCUGCUCUUCCCCUAGAGACAGAUACUUGGUGGGGGAAAGAGGGAGCUGAGACAUCACCCCCUCCUCAUCCCUGGCCACUUCCACAUGAUCUAAAUCAGAGCCUGCAAAAAGGGCAGGGGAAUGGAGCCAGAGGGACAGGGACUUGCUCAUGCCAGGCUUCCCAAGCCCGAGUCCGGCCCUCCCACUGCGCCCUUUACAGCAGCCCCGCACCCACGGGGCUGCGGCCGGUGUGAAGAAGUGAGAGUCUGGAGCGCCUUCCCUUCGUGCACUGUGUCAUCACACAAGCACCCAAGUUUCCCUUCUGCAGAUGUGGCUCGGAGAGACUAGGGACUUUUCUGGAGCCACAGCCCCAGGAAGCAACCACGGCUGCUUUGCAAACCGGGCCUCCUAAUGCCCAGUCUUGGCAUCCCACUGCCUGGCCAGGAAAAGGGCAGGCAGGAGAGUGUCUUUCCAUGUCGUGUUUGUCAGGGCUGAGGAACAGAUAUCUGGGAACUCCUGGGCAGGGUCUUUCCCAGCCCAGGCGGCCAAGGGUCCUGCCCAGGGGUCGGUACUCUUGUUUGAUGACCUAAUGUCCCCUCUGCUACUACAGGACAGACGAGGUUCAGGCAAAGGACGCUAAUGAUUCAUCAAAUAAGCCCUGCCUGGGGCCCGGUCUACCUCAGGGCUUGCGUCCAGACCAGGGACCCUCCCCUUUCGCCACUAAGAAAUGGACUCCCAGGAGGGCAGGGCAGGAAUAGCCCUGAGGACCCUCUGGAAAACUUGGUCGUUGCAGAGAGGGAGAUGAAGGCUGGAGGGCUGUCUAAGGGCACGUCCACAAAAGUAAGAGCAGCACCUUCCCCGCAAACCAUUUUGAAGAUUAAAUGAGAUAAGACAAGGGAUUUCCUGUUGUGGCAAAAUGGAAUCGGCAGCGUUUCUGGAGCACCGGGACGCAGGUUCGAUCCCUGGCCCGGCACAGUGGGUUAAGAAUCCGGCAUUGCUGCAGCUGCAGCAUAGGUCGCAACCGUGUAUCAGAUCUGAUCCCUGUCCAGGAACUCCGUAUGCCAAGGCAUUCAAACCAGUCCUGGUAUUGUCAUCACUUUUGUGAUUUUGCCCACGGAAGCCAAGUUCCCAGGCCUCCAGGAGAAGAAAGAGUGCACUCCCUGCUCCAGCCCAGGCCUCCGAUCCACCUGGCGCCUCACCGUGGGGUGGAAAGGGCCGAGAAGCAGGAGGCUGAGGACCCAGCCUGCCUGGCCUCUCCUUGGCUACCUGACCCUGGAGACAAGCCCAGCCGAACCUCUCCCCCAGCAUCUGUGCCUUGAUGCUCUUCUCACUGAGAAAUAAGCUAGAUAUUCAGUGUGGGAAUUUCCAAUUUCAGCAGCAAAACUGUCCCGACCCGAAGCAGCUGGGGAAAAGCGUGUGCCUGGCGCAGAGGGGGAAGCCCCGGUCAGAGACAGACAAAGGCAGCCUGUGCCAGCCCUGCCUCUGUCCUGGCCCAGAGUUCUAGAAGGUUCCAUGCCCAGGCCCAAGGGCUUCCAAGAAUCACAGUUGAAAGUUAUUACUUGAAAGCUGUCAGACAGUCUACUUGGUGUUCCUGGAAGCUGUGGUCCGGGGAAGGUGAUGAGGGAUGGGCCGAGAGGGCCGGGGCGAGUGAGCAAAGCAGAGCAUGGAAGACGCUGCAAUGAGGAAGAAGAGGCGGAGGAACAAGCGAGAGGGGAGACCGAGAGGAAAGGGGGGAGCAGGUGAGGCAGAGACAGCCGCAGACAGACGGGGACACACAGGGAGGCCACAGAGAGAGGAUGGCUCCAAGCAAGGCCAGUUCACAGGGCUCAGAUGAUCACAGCUUUGGCUACUUUUAGCCUGGGACACUGCCAGGCCUAGAAACAGACGCGACAAGGUGCUUUCUUAACAGGAAACUCCCUCACCCGCGUGGGAGGGCAGAGCCGUUGGGUGGUUAUCUUGCUGCUCCCUUGAACAGGCUCAGCCCUCACCCCCAGGCCCCCUCGCCUGGGGGACACAGACUUGCUUGCGUCUCUGUGAAACUCCACUGCUCAGGGCCCCUCCGAAGACGCACCCUGCCCCUUGGCUGCCCAGCCACCAGGAAACCCCAAAACGCAGGAGUGGGACUGCUGUGGCCACAGUGACUGGCACCCCGAAGGCCCCAGCAGGUCCCAGAGUUCGGGCCCUGGCAUCCCCGGGAUCCUCUUAUGGGGACAAAUGCAACCCUUGGUUAAGCACCUGCCACGUGCCAGCACUGGGCCAAGCUCUCCACGUGCGCUGCAUAACAAAUCCUCAGAAGGGCACAAGGAGAAGUGACGAUUUGUCUCACUGGACAGCAGGAACCCAGGCAGGCAGGCUGGCUGCAGAGCCCACCACCACCCUCAGCUGAAAUCGUCUGUAAAUGCCUAAGAAGCCCAGUGUCAUGACAACGGUUAAAGUUUUGGCUCUGUCGCCUAGAAGCAGGGUGACCUCGGGCAAGCGGCUUGUUUUCUCAGUUCUGGUUUCCUCAUCUCUAAGACGAGAAUAACAACUUCAGUGGGGGGGGGGGUUAUUGUGAGGAUUAAAGGAGAUUGUGUGACCCAUAGAGCCCAGGCCCCACUGGGUGGGGCUCAGUAAAGGUUCAUUACCCGGGAUGGGCCUGCAAACCUUCAGCCUGGCCCCUUCCCUCCACCGCGCUCUGGGUGCAGGAACUAGCGGCAGAUGUGGGCAUCGCUGGAGCAUCACUUGGGUGCUGGGUGCUGUGCCCACAUGCCCAGGAGAGUCAGCCAAGGUGGGGCCUGUGCUCUGGGAGGUGUUAGCAUUCUGGCCCCUGGUCCCAUGCUGCAGCUACCUCCUCUGCCCUAUCUGCCCCUGCCUUGCCCCAUCCUCGAGCCACUGGCAGGGCCCCCUUGGGUGGGGCGGGCAGGGCAGGGCAGGGCUGAGCACAAGGCAGCAGGGCGGCAUUAUCGCUCCCAGCAGAGCUGGAGUCAGAGUUAAGCCUGUCUUUUUAUCAUGUCCCCAGGCCUGUGCUGACAUGCAUGGCCUGGCUCUGUGGGGGUGGGUGGGGGGCCCUAUGGUGGUUGCCCAAGGCCUUCCUCCUCUGAAAUGGUUCCCAGAGCAGGAAUGGGAGAGGAAAGCUGGCUUGGACACCGUGUCAUCCUAGGCAAUCCCUUCCCUCUCUUGAGAAAAAUCUAUAAAUUGAGGGUGGAGGGGCAGCUGAAUAAGGUGGCCUCUAAGGCGCUUCCAGCUCUAAAGAGUUAGGAUGCUGUGGCCACCUGUAAGCUAGCCAUGUGGCCACCUGUGAGCUAGCCAUGAUGGUCAACCUGUUUACAGACGAGGGACCUGCGGCCAAGCAAAGGGAAGAGACUCGAGCCCACAGCACACUAGCUCAUAGCAGAGCUGAGUGACACCCAGGCCACCUGACUCCCAGCCCAAUGCUCUUCCCACCCUACACAUCCCGACCUUCUAGAAGGAAAGGUCUGGAGAGGAUGGGGUGGGGGUGGGGCUGCCUCCUCCAGGCUCCCUCUCCUUCCAUCAGGUUCCAGGAAUGGGCUGCGGCUGAGGUCCAGACAUGUGGGCACCUGGGAGCCCUGGAGGGUUUGGGGUCACUCCUUGGCUCCUGUCCAAGGGACAGCAGGGCUUCCAGAGUGUGUGGAGAGCUGGCCCCAUUUUCAGGCCUUGAUAACAGCCCUUCCCAUAUCAGGGGACCAAGGACUGGGAGGGGUGUGCCUGGGAAUCAAGGGCAGGUUGGGCCGAAAUGAGGAGGCAGAAAGGGAAG